CGCGAAUGGCUCAUUACAACAGCUAUAAUUCACUUGAUCUUGACACAAUCCUACUACUUGGAUAACUGUGGUAAUUCUAGAGCUAAUACAUGCAUUAAAGCUCUGACCUCCUCACGGAAAGAGUGUAUUUAUUAGAACAAAACCAAGCAAGCGGCUUCGGCUGUUUUCGGUUGACUCAUAGUAACUGAGCUGAUCGCAUGGUCUUGCACCGGCGACGUGUCUUUCAAGUAUCUGCCGUAUCAACUUUCGAUGGUAGUGUAUCUGACUACCAUGGUGAUCACGCGUAACGGAGAAUAAGGGUUCGACUCCGGAGAGUUCGCCUGAGAAAUCGCGAACACAUCUAAGGAAGGCAGCAGGCGCGAAAAUUACCCACUCUCAGCACGAGGAGGUAGUGACGAAAAAUAACGAGACCGUUCUCUUUCGAGGCUAGUCAUCGGAAUGGGUACAAUUUAAACCCUUUAACGAGUAUCUAUGAGAGGGCAAGUCUGGUGCCAGCAGCCGCGGUAAUUCCAGCU
rnacentral:rRNA from 1 species